CCUACGGGAGGCAGCAGUGGGGAAUAUUGCACAAUGGGGGAAACCCUGAUGCAGCGACGCCGCGUGAAGGAUGAAGUAUUUCGGUAUGUAAACUUCUAUCAGCAGGGAAGAAGAUGACGAUGCUUGACUAAGAAGCACCCGCUAACUACGGGCCAGCAGCCGCGGUAAUACGUAGGGGGCAAGCGUUAUCCGGCGUUACUGGGGGUAGAGGGAGCGUAGACGGUAUGGCAAGUCUGAAGUGAAAACCCGGGGCUCAACCCCGGGACUGCAUUGGAAACUGCCGAACUAGAGUGUCGGAGAGGCAAGUGGAAUUCCUAGUGUAGCGGUGAAAUGCGUAGAUAUUAGGAGGAACACCAGUGGCGAAGGCGACUUGCUGGACGAUGACUGACGUUGAGGCUCGAAAGCGUGGGGAGCAAACAGGAUUAGAUACCCGUGUAGUC
rnacentral:rRNA from 1 species